AUCCUUUGCUCGGUGGAAUAUC
rnacentral:miRNA from 1 species